rnacentral:tRNA from 1 species
GGGCGAUUAGCUCAGCGGGAGAGCGCUUCCUUCACACGGAAGAGGUCGCUGGUUCGAAACCAGCAUCGCCUACCA